UACGGAGGGUGCAAGCGUUAUCCGGAUUCACUGGGUUUAAAGGGUGCGUAGGCGGUUUUGUAAGUCAGUGGUGAAAUCUCCCGGCUCAACCGGGAAGCUGCCAUUGAUACUGCAGAACUAGAGUACAGAUGACGUUGGCGGAAUGUGUCAUGUAGCGGUGAAAUGCAUAGAUAUGACACAGAACACCGAUUGCGAAGGCAGCUGACGAAACUGCAACUGACGCUGAUGCACGAAAGUGCGGGGAUCAAACAGG
rnacentral:rRNA from 1 species